rnacentral:miRNA from 1 species
GCACACGUGUUUGUGCUUGUGUGUGUGUGUGUGUGUGUGUGUGUGUGUGUGUGCGCGCGCGUGCGCAUGCACGCGC